rnacentral:pre_miRNA from 1 species
AAAAAGACAAACCCUGGUUUCCGUGUCCAACAUUUGACCGUCCGUCUUAUUUGAAAAAAUUAUGAAAAAAAUUAAAAAGACAAGUCACGCAUAAAAUAUUAAUCAUGUUUUAUCAUCUAACAACAAUAAAAAUACGAAUUAUAAAAAAAUUUCAUAUAAGACGGACAGUCAAAGUUGGACACGAAAAUCCAUGGUUUAUUUUUUU